rnacentral:rRNA from 1 species
CAGCCGUAAACUAUGCGCGUUAGGUGUACUGGUGACCACGAGUCACCGGGGUGCCGAAGGGAAACCGUGAAACGUGCCGCCUGGGAAGUACGGUCGCAAGGCUGAAACUUAAAGGAAUUGGCGGGGGAGGCACCACAACGGGUGGAGCCUGCGGUUUAAUUGGACUCAACGCCGGAAAUACUCACCGGAUAGGACAGACAUAUGAUAGUCGGGCUGAAGACUCUACUUGAUGAUCUGAGAGGUGGUGCAUGGCGUCAGUGACU